AUUGAACGCUGGCGGAGUGCUUUACACAUGCAAGUCGAACGGCAGCACGGACUUCGGUCUGGUGGCGAGUGGCGAACGGGUGAGUAAUGUAUCGGAACGUGCCCAGUCGUGGGGGAUAACGUAGUGAAAAUUACGCUAAUACCGCAUACGAUCUAUGGAUGAAAGCGGGGGAUCGCAAGACCUCGCGCGAUUGGAGCGGCCGAUAUCAGAUUAGGUAGUUGGUGGGGUAAGGGCCCACCAAGCCAACGAUCUGUAGCUGGUCUGAGAGGACGACCAGCCACACUGGAACUGAGACACGGUCCAGACUCCUACGGGAGGCAGCAGUGGGGAAUUUUGGACAAUGGGCGAAAGCCUGAUCCAGCCAUUCCGCGUGCAGGAUGAAGGCCCUCGGGUUGUAAACUGCUUUUGUACAGAACGAAAAGGUUUCUACUAAUACUAGGAGCUCAUGACGGUACUGUAAGAAUAAGCACCGGCUAACUACGUGCCAGCAGCCGCCGCGG
rnacentral:rRNA from 1 species